UUUAUUGGAGAGUUUGAUCCUGGCUCAGGAUGAACGCUGGCGGCGUGCCUAAUACAUGCAAGUCGAGCGAAUGAAUUAAGAGCUUGCUCUUAUGAAGUUAGCGGCGGACGGGUGAGUAACACG
rnacentral:rRNA from 1 species